AGAGCUAGUUAGUUUUGCUGCCUAGAUCUAGUGGUUCAAUUGCACAUACGCACGUAUACGGAGUUACACACGAUGACACACAAAUCAGUUUGGGUUGAGCCCAAAGUGUACUCACGUACUGGAGACUCACGCGACCAAGCCCUCACACAUGGCCUCUCACCAUCGUUCCCCAAAUCACGCACGCACGCGACACCCAUCGCGUCCUCGCGAUGCUGCCGCCGCCUCCUUCCCUUCCGGCCGCCACCGGCCAAGUCCGUCGCCGGCGCACGCCAGCGCAGCUCCGCCUCGCUAUCCUCCAUCGAAUCCCCUCUAAAUCGACGCUCACUCGCACCCGCACACACAGGCUCCCCCAGACGUCGUCGCUCCGCUGCGUUUGUUUUUCCCGGCCGCCUCCGGCUCACUCCGGCACCGGCAAGGUGGGGCUUUGCUCCGCCUUGCUGCUCUCUACCGCCUCCUCCCGGUCGAUUUGAUCCUCGAGGUCUUAAUCACCCGUCCCCAACCCCGGAACCCUACCUACUGCCGGCCGAUUUGGCCAUCGCCGGCCUCCUACUCCGAUGCUACUCCCCGGCGUGGCUUCGCCCCGGACCACCCUGCCAUCUACCGCUGCCUCGGCGCCGCCCCCUUUCCCACACACGUGCCUCACGGCAACCCUAGCCCACGGAUGCCUCGGUCGCCGGCGUGUUUUCGACGCCGCCGCGGCCAUACUGCUGUCAUGACAGCGAAUUAGUGGUGUGGUGUUGCGGUGCUGUUGUACUAGUGGAGCGGUGUGGUGUUGGUGGUGACUACUGCAUCCUCGACGCCGGCCGGACGGCGUCUACGACUGCAACCCCGGCGUCGGCCUCUUCCUCUAUUCGACUACACCACUGGUCUUACUUAAACAAGAGAUGAUGAUCUUCAAGUUUAGUUUAGGAUUUGAUUUUCUUUUCUCAUACUUGUAAUUGUAACUAUAUUCUUAUUCUUUAUUAUUUUUGUAAAGACUUUGUAUUAUUGUGUUAAUAUUAAUAAAGAAAUGUUUUCCUUGUUGUAGAA